GCGCCCAUAGCUCAGUGGAUAGAGCAAGCGACUUCUAAUCGCUAGGCCGCAGGUUCGAUCCCUGCUGGGCGCGCCU
rnacentral:tRNA from 1 species